rnacentral:piRNA from 1 species
UAACAAAUAUGGUUUCUCUCUUGCUUUAAGCC